rnacentral:rRNA from 1 species
GAUGAACGCUGGCGGCGUGCCUAAUACAUGCAAGUCGAGCGAACGGACGAUAAGCUUGCUCCUCUGCUGUUAGCGGCGGACGGGCGAGUAACACGUGGAUAACCUACUUCUAAUACUGGGAUAACUUCGGGAAACCGGAGCUACUACCGGAUAAUAUUUUGUACCGCAUGGUUCAAAAGUGCAUGACGGUCUUGCUGUCACUUAUAGCUGGAUCCGCGUUGCAUUAGCUAGUUGGUAAGGUAACGGCUUACCAAGGCAACGAUGCAUAGCCGACCUGAGAGGAUGAUCAGCCACACUGGAACUGAGACACGGUCCAGACUCCUACGGGAGGCAGCAGUAGGGAAUCUUGCGCAAUGGGCGAAAGCCUGACGGAGCAACGCCGCGUGAGUGAUGAAGGUCUUCGGAUCGUAAAACUCUGUUAUUAGGAAAGAACAUAUGUAUAAGUAACUGUGCACAUCUUGACGGUACCUAAUCAGAAAGCCACGGCUAACUACGUG